rnacentral:rRNA from 1 species
GAUGAACGCUGGCGGCGUGCCUAAUACAUGCAAGUCGAGCGAACGGACGAGAAGCUUGCUUCUCUGAUGUUAGCGGCGGACGGGUGAGUAACACGUGGAUAACCUACCUAUAAGACUGGGAUAACUUCGGGAAACCGGAGCUAAUACCGGAUAAUAUUUUGAACCGCAUGGUUCAAAAGUGAAAGACGGUCUUGCUGUCACUUAUAGAUGGAUCCGCGCUGCAUUAGCUAGCUGGUAAGGUAACGGCUUACCAAGGCAACGAUGCAUAGCCGACCUGAGAGGGUGAUCGGCCACACUGGAACUGAGACACGGUCCCGACUCCUACGGGAGGCAGCAGUAGGGAAUCUUCCGCAAUGGGCGAAAGCCUGACGGAGCAACGCCGCGUGAGUGAUGAAGGUCUUCGGAUCGUAAAACUCUGUUAUUAGGGAAGAACAUAUGUGUAAGUAACUGUGCACAUCUUGACGGUACCUAAUCAGAAAGCCACGGCUAACUACGUG